AAACUCCGUAAGGAGAAAAAGGAAUAUGUUGCGGAGAUCUCACGCCUCCGCAGAAAAAUAAAUGCUCUGCUGAAGCUGGUUCCAGCCACCACGCUGCAGGGCGGCCACAUAAGCAGCCACAGAAGCAGCAAGGACACCAAGCUAAGUCGCUACGUGGAGGAGUCUGAGGAGGGGGAGGUGCCUCCCCCUCAGACUUCAAAGAAUCGUGAGCCGCAGGUUCAGCUGGUUCCAGCCACUGCCCGCACAAGCAAGAAGCAUGCCAGGAAAAGCAGGC